CGCAUGAUCUCGUCCUGACGGGCCUCCAGGGCUCUGACGGACGGGUCCACUUCGCCAUUCUGCAGACAGGAAAUAAUUCCGUCGGUGCUAUCGGCAUCCUGAGUUUCCCUGCCAGAUGGAACAAACAGGCAACACCUGCUUGUUUACGACUUCAAAAAGCAGGUGCAGCGUUGAAGACAGGGCAAAAACAUCCAAAACCUUUACCAAGGAAAUGACGCUCACUUUUGAUUGACACUAUCAGAAAGAAAAGAAACGGAUGGGCGGCGCAGAAACCGGAUCGACAGCGGGACUCAAGCCACCGCAGUUCAGUCGCUGUAUGGAUGUCAUGUGCAAAGGCACCCUAUUCUGUUACCACCGAUCAUUUAUUUAUUUACAUUUACAAAGUAGAAGUUCCUGUAUCACAUUUUUUGGUCUAGCCUUAAAAAAAAGGAAUAAAUGGCCCGAACUGAACAAUGAUAACGUGUGAAAAUUAGAACUGCACCUGCACAACAAAAAAUAUUUAUAGCAGGUCCAAUGGAAAUUUGGAUUUGAAUGUUUUUAAAAUGUUAUGUUGGGGUGGUGCUGGUGUUGAGGCAGUGGGGUGUGACAGGACUUAUUCCUCUUAUAAUGUAAAUAAUUUAAAGUCAUACUUUUUUAUCAUGACUUUUGUGUCGAAAAAUCUUCACACGAAAUACAGUAUAGUUUCAAGGGUUUCGCUUUAUGCUGGCGCCAUCUAGCGGCAUUUGAUUUGAUUUUAGCGAGACUGCCCGAGCACAAUCUUUUCUCCACAGGAAAAUAUUAGUAAGUACCAUGUGUCGUUUUUCCUGUCCAUAAGUUUAUUCGUUGCUUUUUUUUUUGUCAGCCAGAUUGUCACAUAGUUGAAAAGACACAUGCUGAACCUCCGAUAAGACAGAGAGGGACCGUAGCGAAAG